rnacentral:rRNA from 1 species
AACGAACGCUGGCGGCAUGCCUAACACAUGCAAGUCGAACGAGACCUUCGGGUCUAGUGGCGCACGGGUGCGUAACGCGUGGGAACCUGCCCUUAGGUUCGGAAUACCUCCCCGCAAGGGGUGCUAAUACCGGUUAAUGUCUUCGGACCAACGAUUUAUCGCCGUUGGAUGGGCCCGCGUUGGUUUAGCUAGUUGGUAGGGUAAAAGCAUACCAAGGCGACGAUGCAUAGCUGGGCGGAGAGGAUGAUCAGCCACACUGGGACUGAGACACGGCCCAGACUCGUACGGGAGGCAGCAGUGGGGAAUAUUGGACAAGGGGCGAAAGCGUGAUCCAGCAAUGCCGCGGGAGUGAUGAAGGCCGUAGGGUUGUAAAGCUCUUUUACCCGGGAGGAUAAUGACAGUACCGGGAGAAUAAGCUCCGGCUAACUCCGUG